UACAGAGGUCUCAACCGUUGUUCGGAUUCAUUGGGCGUAAAGCGCGCGUAGGCGGUUACUUAAGUCGGAUGUGAAAGCCCUCGGCUUAACUGAGGAAGUGCACCCGAAACUGAGUAGCUAGAGUACGAAAGAGGGUCGCGGAAUUCCCGGUGUAGAGGUGAAAUUCGUAGAUAUCGGGAGGAACACCGGUGGCGAAGGCGCUCUGCUGGACCAUAACUGACACUCAGGGACGAAAGCUAGGGGAGCGAAUGGG
rnacentral:rRNA from 1 species